GGGAAACCCAGUGUGAUUCGUCACACUAUCAUUAACUGAAUCCAUAGGUUAAUGAGGCGAACCGGGGGAACUGAAACAUCUAAGUACCCCGAGGAAAAGAAAUCAACCGAGAUUCCCCCAGUAGCGGCGAGCGAACGGGGAGGAGCCCAGAGCCUGAAUCAGUGUGUGUGUUAGUGGAAGCGUCUGGAAAGGCGCGCGAUACAGGGUGACAGCCCCGUACACAAAAAUGCACAUGCUGUGAGCUCGAUGAGUAGGGCGGGACACGUGGUAUCCUGUCUGAAUAUGGGGGGACCAUCCUCCAAGGCUAAAUACUCCUGACUGACCGAUAGUGAACCAGUACCGUGAGGGAAAGGCGAAAAGAACCCCGGCGAGGGGAGUGAAAAAGAACCUGAAACCGUGUACGUACAAGCAGUGGGAGCACAGAGCAAUCUGUGUGACUGCGUACCUUUUGUAUAAUGGGUCAGCGACUUAUAUUCUGUAGCAAGGUUAACCGAAUAGGGGAGCCGAAGGGAAACCGAGUCUUAACUGGGCGUUAAGUUGCAGGGUAUAGACCCGAAACCCGGUGAUCUAGCCAUGGGCAGGUUGAAGGUUGGGUAACACUAACUGGAGGACCGAACCGACUAAUGUUGAAAAAUUAGCGGAUGACUUGUGGCUGGGGGUGAAAGGCCAAUCAAACCGGGAGAUAGCUGGUUCUCCCCGAAAGCUAUUUAGGUAGCGCCUCGUGAAUUCAUCUCCGGGGGUAGAGCACUGUUUCGGCAAGGGGGUCAUCCCGACUUACCAACCCGAUGCAAACUGCGAAUACCGGAGAAUGUUAUCACGGGAGACACACGGCGGGUGCUAACGUCCGUCGUGAAGAGGGAAACAACCCAGACCGCCAGCUAAGGUCCCAAAGUCAUGGUUAAGUGGGAAACGAUGUGGGAAGGCCCAGACAGCCAGGAUGUUGGCUUAGAAGCAGCCAUCAUUUAAAGAAAGCGUAAUAGCUCACUGGUCGAGUCGGCCUGCGCGGAAGAUGUAACGGGGCUAAACCAUGCACCGAAGCUGCGGCAGCGACGCUUAUGCGUUGUUGGGUAGGGGAGCGUUCUGUAAGCCUGUGAAGGUGUGCUGUGAGGCAUGCUGGAGGUAUCAGAAGUGCGAAUGCUGACAUAAGUAACGAUAAAGCGGGUGAAAAGCCCGCUCGCCGGAAGACCAAGGGUUCCUGUCCAACGUUAAUCGGGGCAGGGUGAGUCGACCCCUAAGGCGAGGCCGAAAGGCGUAGUCGAUGGGAAACAGGUUAAUAUUCCUGUACUUGGUGUUACUGCGAAGGGGGGGACGGAGAAGGCUAUGUUGGCCGGGCGACGGUUGUCCCGGUUUAAGCGUGUAGGCUGGUUUUCCAGGCAAAUCCGGAAAAUCAAGGCUGAGGCGUGAUGACGAGGCACUACGGUGCUGAAGCAACAAAUGCCCUGCUUCCAGGAAAAGCCUCUAAGCAUCAGGUAACAUCAAAUCGUACCCCAAACCGACACAGGUGGUCAGGUAGAGAAUACCAAGGCGCUUGAGAGAACUCGGGUGAAGGAACUAGGCAAAAUGGUGCCGUAACUUCGGGAGAAGGCACGCUGAUAUGUAGGUGAAGUCCCUCGCGGAUGGAGCUGAAAUCAGUCGAAGAUACCAGCUGGCUGCAACUGUUUAUUAAAAACACAGCACUGUGCAAACACGAAAGUGGACGUAUACGGUGUGACGCCUGCCCGGUGC
rnacentral:rRNA from 1 species